UGGGGAAUUUUGGACAAUGGGCGCAAGCCUGAUCCAGCCAUGCCGCGUGCGGGAAGAAGGCCUUCGGGUUGUAAACCGCUUUUGUCGGGGAAGAAAUCUCUCGGGCUAAUACCUCGGGGGGAUGACGGUACCCGAAGAAUAAGCACCGGCUAACUACGUGCCAGCAGCCGCGGUAAUACGUAGGGUGCGAGCGUUAAUCGGAAUUACUGGGCGUAAAGCGUGCGCAGGCGGUCGUGCAAGGCAGAUGUGAAAUCCCCGGGCUCAACCUGGGAACUGCAUUUGUGACUGCACGGCUGGAGUACGGCAGAGGGGGAUGGAAUUCCGCGUGUAGCAGUGAAAUGCGUAGAUAUGCGGAGGAACACCGAUGGCGAAGGCAGUCCCCUGGGCCUGUACUGACGCUCAUGCACGAGAGCGUGGGGAGCAAACA
rnacentral:rRNA from 1 species